rnacentral:rRNA from 1 species
GAUGAACGCUGGCGGCGUGCCUAAUACAUGCAAGUCGAGCGAACGGACGAGAAGCUUGCUUCUCUGAUGUUAGCGGCGGACGGGUGAGUAACACGUGGAUAACCUACCUAUAAGACUGGGAUAACUUCGGGAAACCGGAGCUAAUACCGGAUAAUAUUUUGAACCGCAUGGUUCAAAAGUGAAAGACGGUCUUGCUGUCACUUAUAGAUGGAUCCGCGCUGCAUUAGCUAGUUGGUAAGGUAACGGCCUACCAAGGCAACGAUGCAUAGCCGACCUGAGAGGGUGAUCGGCCACACUGGAACUGAGACACGGUCCAGACUCCUACGGGAGGCAGCAGUAGGGAAUCUUCCGCGAUGGGCGAAAGCCUGACGGAGCAACGCCGCGUGAGUGAUGAAGGUCUUCGGAUCGUAAAACUCUGUUAUUAGGGAAGAACAUAUGUGUAAGUAACUGUGCACAUCUUGACGGUACCUAAUCAGAAAGCCACGGCUAACUACGUG